rnacentral:misc_RNA from 1 species
GGAUGACAUCACCGAUGAUGUGAUGCAAUUAGCAUCAAAUUAAGAUGAAAGUUGAAUUAAGUUACUUUUAUGCUCCAUCUCAUUAUAAAAUAUUCAGAUAUAUAUCGUAAAUAAAUAAAUGUAUUAUUUGAUCAUUUUAUAUAUGCACAUAAAGGUGCAUUUAUUUAUUUUUUUCUUAGAAAUCUUAACUCCUAGGCUUAUGGGUGAUUCUAAAGUUGACUGUUGACUCAUUUUUUUGCUUG